CCACAGCAGGAGUUUGAGCUGAGUGGAGACAACCAUCUUCUCACGGCUUUUGCAGCUCGUGUCUCCUCUCUGGACCUGAGGACGAGAGAACACAAUGUAAAGCUCUGCAGGACGGAUGUUGCCGCUUUAAGCUGUGGGGUUACUCGCGGUCAAAACAGAGAAACCGACGCCAAGCACGUGCUCAGCCCAAACACUCCUUAAACCGCAAAUGCCCGAUAGUAACCUCUUCAUCAUCCUCUUCAUCCUCAUUUCACACCUCCUGACAGGUUCAGGAGCACCUACUGUAUGGAGGUGAAACAGGUUCUGGGUGGCUUUCCAGCUGGAUUCCAGUCUUCACAGGGUUCAGAUAUACUCGGAUUUUGGAGAGAGAAAAAAUUUGGUAAGUGUGUCAUGAAGAAGUUGCUCCAGAUGAAGUCAUAUAUUUGUGAACAUUUAGUGAAAGAGGAAGUGAGAAGCUCCGAGCCACAGGAGAGAGGAAUGUUCUAGAUCUGCCUCUGGUCCGUCUUUCUCUUAUUUAUUGCAGGUAAAUGAGAUCUUGUUUGCUGAGAAGGUUCUAAUGAACUGACAGAUUUGUGCAAUUACACAUUAAUGAAGACGUGAAGACCAACUUCCAUCAUCACACAAGCUCCAUCACCAUCGAAUAAAAUACAGUAAAACACCAAGAUCCUGUUUUUAUAUACAUGGCUUUAAUGACACAAACACACACACACACACACACACACACACACACACACACACACACACAGAGCAGUGGGUCCACUUGUGGAAGGCGUUGCCGUUUUAAGACUGCAGUAAUGUGUAGCUGAGUGAAUUAUUAAAAACAAAAAAAAACACAAUAGCGAAUAAAUAAAAGAUUAAAAAUCAAACUCAUCUCAUUUACACGGUGAGGAGAAAUCAAAAAUUAAACUGUCUGGUUGGAGGAUGAUGAAGAAACAGAUAAAUCAACCCUUGUGUUCCUCAGAGCUGCAGUUUGUCCGAUAGUAACCUCAGGAAAGGAGGGGGGCGGGGCUAAAUAUAGCUCUAUACACAAAUACACGGCAUCAAAUGAGACAGUGGAGAGAACAAAAGAUUGGAAAAAGAGGUUUGAAAAACAAGGAGAAUCUGCAUGGCAGCAAAAAACACACACUUAUAUAUCACACUCUAACAGCGUCAGACCUUCAGAGAUGUUCUACCUGAACCAAUCCACCUCUUAGUCCCGUCAUUACGACGCCACUGUUAUGGAAGGCAUCAAUUUUAGAGAGAUAGGCAGUAGAACUGCGUCACACGGGUUUGUUUUCCUCUUCACGAUGACAAUGUUACAGGGAUCGCAGAAGAACAUGUACCUGCAGAAGUGAAACAUCUCAGUCCAGAAUAACGGACGCGUCUCGCUCGUCUGUCCAAUCUGUCCAUUCCUUAGCUUUUCUUGAAAAGUCUAAAAAGCUCACGUGAACAGAUUUGGGAUCGUCCGGUUUGCUACAGACGCGGUUUGCAAGCUCUCCGACCGUCCAAUCAGAGGACGUGAAAACGCGGACAUUAUCGUACGCCUGCUAGAGGGCUUCAGAAUCACCAAAUCACAGUCUGAUUGGUUCCGAUUACAAACACAUGGAUCGUGAGCUACAGCUUGCAGAGUUUAUAGGCAGAUUUCUUUGACCCUGGCAACACGUGAUGCGACGCUGAAAUCCGAUUGGAUAGAAACUGAAAUUAAACUUCUUGAAGCAGCGCGCCGUAGACCAGACGGAUUGAUAGACUUUAUUGAUCCCCGUGACGGAAAUGAUUGUGUUACAGCAGCAAAAACUGGGAGGAACCCGAGAGGAACCCUUUAAAUGAGGAGAAUAGAUGAUUGGGUAGAAUUAAAUACAUGUUCAUGAACAGAAAUCUAUUCAAGAGUAAGUCAGUGAUUAAUGAUAGAGUUGAGAUCUGCAGAGAAGGAUUUACUGGACCUGACGACCUGACGAUGAUCUCUCACUCUUCCCCCCAAAAACUGAGAACCCAGUGAAAGUUUUGUACAUGUGCACUUUUUUUAUUAUAUUUU